GAUGAGCUCAGCUUGAAAAUCGGGGCCUCUGGCCUUGAAUUGUAGUCUGGAGAGGCAUCGCCAACGGAGGCGCAGGUGUAAGCCUUUUGGAAAAUGCAUCAAUGAGGGUGAGAAUCCCGUAUGUCACCUGUAGCCCUUCGUGAACGGCAUGUCUUCUAAGAGUCGUGUUCCUCGGGAUUGGAGCGCAAAUUGGGUGGUAAAUUUCAUCUAAAGCUAAAUACAGGUUUGAGACCGAUAGCAAACAAGUACCAUGAGGGACAGAUGAAAAGGACUUUGGAAAGAGAGUUAAAAGUGCUUGAACUUGCUGAAAGGGAAGCGCAUGGAACCAGUUCGUCUUGGCGAGAUUGUGGCGCAUAAUCGUGACGGCAUGCUGCUCCAGCGCAAGCGGAGCGGUAGGUCUUAAGCGAGCUUGCGCUGUGCUUCUUGCCUUGCAUGUCAUCGGCAUCCCAUUCGUGUGACAAUCCCAGGGACAUGGAAGCAUGGCUGCGGCCGUGUGAAUGUGCCUGGCGAACGCACUGGUGUGUUGCUUGCUGACUAAAUGGUUUCCUGCGACCCGUCUUGAAACACGGACCAAGGAGUCUAACAUAUGUGCGAGUUCACAGGUGACAAACCAUAGUGCGCAAUGAAAGUGACUGCUGGGAUUUCUGCACCAGCAACCGACCAAUCGAUUGAGAGAGGUUUGAGUAUGAGCACAUCUGUUAGGACCCGAAAGAUGGUGAACUAUGCCUGGGAAGGGCAAACUCAGGGGAAACUCUGAUGGAGGCUCGCAGCGAUACUGACGUGCAAAUC
rnacentral:rRNA from 1 species